CUACGGGCCGCAGCAGUGGGGAAUAUUGGACAAUGGGCGCAAGCCUGAUCCAGCAAUACCGCGUGUGUGAAGAAGGCCUGCGGGUUGUAAAGCACUUUCAAUUGUGAAGAAAAGCGAGGGCUUAAUACGCUCUUGUCUUGACGUUAACUUUAGAAGAAGCACCGGCUAACUCUGUGCCAGCAGCCGCGGUAAUACAGAGGGUGCGAGCGUUAAUCGGAAUUACUGGGCGUAAAGCGUACGUAGGCGGUUUAGUAAGUCAGAUGUGAAAGCCCUGGGCUCAACCUGGGAACUGCAGUUGAAACUGCUAGACUCGAGUGUGGUAGAGGGAAGUGGAAUUCCGGGUGUAGCGGUGAAAUGCGUAGAUAUCCGGAGGAACACCAGUGGCGAAGGCGACUUCCUGGACCAACACUGACGCUGAGGUACGAAAGCGUGGGUAGCAAACAGGAUUAGAUACCCCGGUAGUC
rnacentral:rRNA from 1 species